UGAAUGAUGAGAUAGUUAAGAGAGAUAGUGUACUGAUAGAAGAGGCCGUAGAUUGAAAUAU
rnacentral:sRNA from 1 species